rnacentral:misc_RNA from 1 species
AAUUCUCAAAACCUAUUGUUCUUCUUGAAUGGUAGGCUUUGGAUGUGAGGGCUUUGCUGGCCUUUGAUGGGUUCAGCUCUCUUCAAAUGCAUUAGUGGUUGCUGAUCCACCUUCAAUUGGUGUGAUAGUUGUCUAUGCCUUUUGAAGUGGAAUCACUUGCUUAUCCACUUCUAACCGGUUGUUAUGUUGGACAACUCUUGACC